rnacentral:tRNA from 1 species
GUCCCGAAGCUCAACUGGAUGAGCGGCCGAAUCCUAGUCGGAAGGUUGCGGGUUCGAGUCCCGCCGGGACCGCCA